rnacentral:ribozyme from 11 species
UUUUAGUCUUUUAUUUCCUUUUUCUUUAUCCAUCAUUCCACUGGAUUCGGCACGAGAACUAUAAGCUGUUUCUACAAAAGAAAACACUAAAAAUUGGAAAGAAUUUUUUAUUUUUUCUAGAUUUUUUAAAAACCUUGAAAAAAAACCGAUCAAAAAGAAAAGUU